rnacentral:rRNA from 1 species
UACAGAGGGGGCAAGCGUUAUUCGGAAUUAUUGGGCGUAAAGGGCGCGUAGGCGGCCUGGCAAGUGGAAGGUGAAAUCCCUCGGCUUAACCGAGGAACUGCCCUCCAAACUGCUUGGCUUGAGUCCGGGAGAGGUGAGUGGAAUUCCCAGUGUAGCGGUGAAAUGCGUAGAUAUUGGGAGGAACACCAGUGGCGAAGGCGGCUCACUGGACCGGGAACUGACGCUGAGGGCGCGAAAA